GACCGGCGCACGGGUGCGUAACGCGUAUGCAACCUGCCUAUCAGUCGAGGAUAGCCCGGCGAAAGUCGGAUUAAUACUGGAUAAAACAGGGGUCCCGCAUGGGAAUAUUUGUUAAAGAUUAAUUGCUGAUAGAUGGGCAUGCGUUCCAUUAGAUAGUUGGUGAGGUAACGGCUCACCAAGUCUGCGAUGGAUAGGGGUUCUGAGAGGAAGGUCCCCCACACUGGUACUGAGACACGGACCAG
rnacentral:rRNA from 1 species